UACGAGGGGGGCGAGCGUUAAUCGGAAUUACUGGGCGUAAAGCGUGCGCAGGCGGUUUGUUAAGUCCGUUGUGAAAGCCCCGAGCUCAACUUGGGAAUUGCAGUGGAUACUGGCAGGCUGGAGUACGGUAGAGGAAGGUGGAAUUCCCGGUGUAGCAGUGAAAUGCGUAGAUAUCGGGAGGAACACCAGUGGCGAAGGCAGCCCCCUGGGCUGACACUGACGCUCAGGCACGAAAGCGUGGGGAGCAAACAGG
rnacentral:rRNA from 1 species